rnacentral:rRNA from 1 species
UACGUAGGGGGCAAGCGUUGUCCGGAAUCAUUGGGCGUAAAGAGCGUGUAGGCGGUCCUGUAAGUCCGCUGUGAAAGUCAAGGGCUCAACCCUUGAAUGCCGGUGGAUACUGCAGGACUAGAGUCCGGAAGAGGCGAGUGGAAUUCCUGGUGUAGCGGUGGAAUGCGCAGAUAUCAGGAGGAACACCAAUAGCGAAGGCAGCUCGCUGGGACGGUACUGACGCUAAGGCGCGAAAGCGUGGGGAGCGAACGAGG